rnacentral:rRNA from 1 species
AAUGAACGUUGGCGGCGUGGAUUAGGCAUGCAAGUCGAGCGAGAACCCAGCAAUGGGGGACAGCGGCGCAAGGGACAGUAAUGUGCAGAUUAUCUGCCCUCGGGUCCGGGAUAGCUGCGGGAAACUGCAGGUAAUACCGGAUAACAUCUCCGGAUCAAAGGUGUGAUUCCGCCCGAGGAUGAGUCUGCAUCCUAUUAGCUAGUUGGCAGGGUAAUGGCCUACCAAGGCGAUGAUGGGUAGCGGGUGUGAGAGCACGACCCGCGUCAUUGGGACUGAGACACUGCCCAGACACCUACGGGUGGCUGCAGUCGGGAAUCUUCGGCGAUGGGCGCAAGCCUGACCGAGCGACGCCGCGUGUGGGAUGAAGGCCUUCGGGUUGUAAACCACUGUCAGAGGGGAUGAAAUGCAGGUGGGUUCUCCCAUCUGUUUGACAUAGCCUCAGAGGAAGGACGGGCUAAGUUCGUGCCAGCAGCCGCCGUAAAAC